rnacentral:rRNA from 1 species
GACGAACGCUGGCGGCGUGCUUAACACAUGCAAGUCGAACGGAAAGGCCCUGCUUUUGUGGGGUGCUCGAGUGGCGAACGGGUGAGUAACACGUGAGUAACCUGCCCUUGACUUUGGGAUAACUUCAGGAAACUGGGGCUAAUACCGGAUAGGAGCUCCUGCUGCAUGGUGGGGGUUGGAAAGUUUCGGCGGUUGGGGAUGGACUCGCGGCUUAUCAGCUUGUUGGUGGGGUAGUGGCUUACCAAGGGUUUGACGGGUAGCCGGCCUGAGAGGGUGACCGGCCACAUUGGGACUGAGAUACGGCCCAGACUCCUACGGGAGGCAGAAGGGGGGAAUAUUGCACAAUGGGCGGAAGCCUGAUGCAGCAACGCCGCGUGCGGGAUGACGGCCUUCGGGUUGUAAACCGCUUUCGCCUGUGACGAAGCGUGAGUGACGGUAAUGGGUAAAGAAGCACCGGCUAACUACGUG